rnacentral:other from 1 species
CCCUGCCUGCUGUAUGCGUGAUAGAACUAUAUGUGCCGAGCCAACAGUUUCUAUAUGGGAGUCAUCAUUCGUCAGCUUAUGUGAUAGGCGCAGGCCAAGACAGCGGUUGGCAAGCGAUUCCCAGCCUGUACCCAUGCAGGUUCGAGACACUAUGGCUACACGGUACGGUGGGCGCGCC